rnacentral:lncRNA from 1 species
CACUUUUCCUUCGACUACAUCGUUCCACCACCAGUCACCCUGAUGUCUGCCAGAAUAGCCCUUGGCUACCCCGAGCACGUCCCGUGCUACCCUCCUAACCAAGUUCGCCGUCUCUGUCCACAUAGCGUCCGCUUCCCCAGAACUUCUCCAAGCUCCGCCCUCAGCUAACCUCCUUUCCAACUCCUGUGCAUUCUCCUUAGUCAAAACACCCCAUCUAAUCCGCGGUUCUCCCCGCGCGCCC